GUGAAAACUACCAAGGUUUCCUGAAGGUGCGCCAGACGCAGCAGAAAACCUACCAGUUUUGGAAGAAGAUAGAGGCAACGGGCAGUUCUUGAAGGUGCACCAAGAAGCAGCAAGAAGCACGACACGAGACGUAGACAAUGGGGACACUGAAGGAGCACCAGACGCAGCAGCAAGUCACCAGGGAAGCUUUUGUUUUCACCAGAUGAUGACGGGCUUAUAGCGCAUCAUCAAUGCUAAUCCCUCACGGAAAUACAGUCCAGUCCAAUAUUUCAAGAGAUUUUAUUCCACCAUUCGACAUUAGUGAUAAUUGUUGCGAAAGGAUAAAGGAAGAAAAAAUAACCAUUAGUGAAAUAUUUCUCAACGAACAUUAUAGGAAAUUAA